AUCCUUUUCUGGUUCAUAAGCGUGAUGAUUGGGUGUUCAUGUGGUUGUGUGACGUGUGCCACUUUCAAACUUUGUUACGCAUCUGCACAUUACCUAUCUGACC